AAACUCACAGCUCAACUGUGGGCGUGCGGGCGAUACGGGCAGACUGGAGUACUGCAGGGGAGACUGGAAUUCCUGGUGUAGCGGUGGAAUGCGCAGAUAUCAGGAGGAACACCGGUGGCGAAGGCGGGUCUCUGGGCAGUAACUGACGCUGAGGAGCGAAAGCGUGGGGAGCGAACAGGAUUAGAUACCCUGGUAGUCCACGCCGUAAACGGUGGGUACUAGGUGUGGGUUUCCUUCCUUGGGAUCCGUGCCGUAGCUAACGCAUUAAGUACCCCGCCUGGGGAGUACGGCCGCAAGGCUAAAACUCAAAGAAAUUGACGGGGGCCCGCACAAGCGGCGGAGCAUGUGGAUUAAUUCGAUGCAACGCGAAGAACCUUACCUGGGUUUGACAUGCACAGGACGUGCCUAGAGAUAGGUAUUCCCUUGUGGCCUGUGUGCAGGUGGUGCAUGGCUGUCGUCAGCUCGUGUCGUGAGAUGUUGGGUUAAGUCCCGCAACGAGCGCAACCCUUAUCUUAUGUUGCCAGCGCGUAAUGGCGGGGACUCGUGAGAGACUGCCGGGGUCAACUCGGAGGAAGGUGGGGAUGACGUCAAGUCAUCAUGCCCCUUAUGUCCAGGGCUUCACACAUGCUACAAUGGCCGGUACAAAGGGCUGCGAUGCCGUGAGGUGGAGCGAAUCCUUUCAAAGCCGGUCUCAGUUCGGAUCGGGGUCUGCAACUCGACCCCGUGAAGUCGGAGUCGCUAGUAAUCGCAGAUCAGCAACGCUGCGGUGAAUACGUUCCCGGGCCUUGUACACACCGCCCGUCACGUCAUGAAAGUCGGUAACACCCGAAGCCGGUGGCCUAACCCCUUG
rnacentral:rRNA from 1 species